rnacentral:rRNA from 1 species
UACGUAGGUGGCAAGCGUUGUCCGGAUUUAUUGGGUUUAAAGGGUGCGUAGGCGGUCUAUUAAGUCAGUGCUGAAAUAUCCCGGCUUAACCGGGAGGUGGCAUUGAUACUGAUGGACUUGAGUGCAGUCGAGGUAGGCGGAAUUGACGGUGUAGCGGUGAAAUGCUUAGAUAUCGUCAAGAACACCGAUAGUGAAGACAGCUUACUAGACUGUAACUGACGCUGAGGCACGAAAGUGUGGGGAUCAAACAGG